UUUUUCUUUUUCUUUUUUUUUUGCUUUUGCGGUGGUGCAUUCCGUUCGUCUUGCCGGAGCCGGAAAUAGCAAGGGCAAGCACAUGUGCCAACUUGUUAGUUACCGAAAAGAGAUGCAUGGAAGCAGUGUGGGUAUCGACAUGCAUGCAUGCAGAGGUAAUAGUACACAAUGUGCUCGGUGCGGUGUGCCAUGCAUGCGUGCGUGCGCACGUACCACGAUGGCGGAGGGGGCGGCGAAGACGGGCGCGCUCAUGAUGAGCCUGGGGCGGGCGGAGGCGGGGAUGCCGGACUUGGACGGCGCGGGGGUGCCGAGGCCGGCGACGAUGCUCGAUGCGGCGGUGGAGGCGCGCACGGCCAAGGUAAGCAUAUGUGGGGGUGCUCCCUUGGUUGGU
rnacentral:lncRNA from 1 species